rnacentral:rRNA from 1 species
UACGGAGGAUGCGAGCGUUAUCCGGAUUUAUUGGGUUUAAAGGGUGCGUAGGCGGGAUGCCAAGUCAGCGGUAAAAAUGCGGUGCUCAACGCCGUCGAGCCGUUGAAACUGGCGUUCUUGAGUGGGCGAGAAGUAUGCGGAAUGCGUGGUGUAGCGGUGAAAUGCGUAGAUAUCACGCAGAACUCCGAUUGCGAAGGCAGCAUACCGGCGCCCUACUGACGCUGAGGCACGAAAGCGUGGGUAUCGAACAGG